UCCAGACUCCUACGGGAGGCAGCAGUUAGGAAUAUUCGUCAAUGGGGGAAACCCUGAACGAGCAAUGCCGCGUGAGUGAUGAAGGUCUUAAUGAUUGUAAAACUCUGUUGUGAAGGAAGAAUAGCCAUCAUAGGUAAUGAUGAUGGUGUGACGGUACUUCACCAGAAAGCCCCGGCUAACUACGUGCCAGCAGCCGCGGUAAUACGUAGGGGGCGAGCGUUAUCCGGAUUUAUUGGGCGUAAAGAGUUCGUAGGCGGUUUGUUAAGUCUAAAAUUCAAGCCCGAGGCUUAACCUCGGUUCGUUUUAGAAACUGGCAAACUUGAGUGUGGUAGAGGCAAGUGGAAUUUCUAGUGUAGCGGUUAAAUGCGUAGAUAUUAGAAGGAACACCAGUGGCGAAGGCGGCUUGCUGGGCCAUUACUGACGCUGAGGAACGAAAGCGUGGGGAGCAAAUAGGAUUAGAUACCCCCGUAGAC
rnacentral:rRNA from 1 species